CCUACGGGAGGCAGCAGUGAGGAAUAUUGGUCAAUGGACGAGAGUCUGAACCAGCCAAGUAGCGUGAAGGAUGAAUGCCCUAUGGGUUGUAAACUUCUUUUAUAUGGGAAUAAAAUGUUCCACGUGUGGGAUUUUGUAUGUACCAUAUGAAUAAGGAUCGGCUAACUCCGUGCCAGCAGCCGCGGUAAUACGGAGGAUCCGAGCGUUAUCCGGAUUUAUUGGGUUUAAAGGGAGCGUAGGUGGAUUGUUAAGUCAGUUGUGAAAGGUUGGGGCUCAACCGUAAAAUUGCAGUUGAAACUGGCAGUCUUGAGUACAGUAGAGGUGGGCGGAAUGCGUGGUGUAGCGGUGAAAUGCUUAGAUAGCGCGAAGAACUCCGAUUGCGAAGGCAGCUCACUGGACUGCAACUGACACUGAGGCUCGAAAGUGUGGGUAUCAAACAGGAUUAGAUACCCUAGUAGUC
rnacentral:rRNA from 1 species